AUUGAACGCUGGCGGCAGGCCUAACACAUGCAAGUCGAACGGUAGCACAGAGGAGCUUGCUCCUUGGGUGACGAGUGGCGGACGGGUGAGUAAUGUCUGGGAAACUGCCCGAUGGAGGGGGAUAACUACUGGAAACGGUAGCUAAUACCGCAUAACGUCUUCGGACCAAAGUGGGGGACCUUCGGGCCUCACACCAUCGGAUGUGCCCAGAUGGGAUUGGCUAGUAGGUGGGGUAAUGGCUCACCUAGGCGACGAUCCCUAGCUGGCCUGAGAGGAUGACCAGCCACACUGGAACUGAGACACGGUCCAGACUCCUACGGGAGGCAGCAGUGGGGAAUAUUGCACAAUGGGCGCAAGCCUGAUGCAGCCAUGCCGCGUGUAUGAAGAAGGCCUUCGGGUUGUAAAGUACUUUCAGCGGGGAGGAAGGCGUUAAGGUUAAUAACCUUGGCGAUUGACGUUACCCGCAGAAGAAGCACCGGCUAACUCCGUGCCAGCAGCCGCCGUAA
rnacentral:rRNA from 1 species